UCGAGACUGCGUGUCCGAACGCCGCAUACGACCGAUAAACUGGCGAGUGGAUCGGGCCGAGCGCAGCUCUCGGCCCUUCCGCCAAUGAUCAGCCAGCAGCCGCUGCAACCCCAGGGAG
rfam:Streptomyces auratus AGR0001 genomic scaffold Scaffold3, whole genome shotgun sequence.